rfam:Myotis lucifugus cont2.32368, whole genome shotgun sequence.
GGCCAGGUAGCUCAGUUCGUAAGAGUGUUGUCCUGAUAAGCCAAGGUUGUGGGUCCAAUCCCUGGUCA